rnacentral:rRNA from 1 species
GAUUAGCCAUGCAUGCCUAAGUCUUGGCUCUAGUACAGUGAAACCACGAAUGGCUCAUUAAAUCAGCUAUUGUUCAUUAGAUCAUAACCGUUACAUGGAUAACUGUAGUAAUUCUAGAGCUAAUACAUGCCUCGAUGCCGUGACCCGUAAGGGGAUCGGUGCACUUAUUAGAACAAGACCAACCAGGUAGCUAGACUUAAUUGUUUAGUGGCCUGUUGUGUCGUGUUGACUCUGGAUAAUUACGACAGAUCGCAGUCGACCUUUGUUGUCGGCGACAAUUCUUUCAAAUGUCUGCCCUAUCAACUUACGAUGGUAGGCGACCUGCCUACCAUGGUGAUAACGGGUAACGGGGAAUCAGGGUUCGAUUCCGGAGAGGGAGCCUGAGAAACGGCUACCACAUCCAAGGAAGGCAGCAGGCGCGCAAAUUACCCACUCCCGGCACGGGGAGGUAGUGACGAAAAAUAACGAUGCGGGACUCCUACGAGGCUCCGUAAUCGGAAUGAGAACACUCUAAAUCCUUUAACGAGGACCAAUUGGAGGGCAAGUCUGGUGCCAGCAGCCGCGGUAACUCCAGCUCCAAUAGCGUAUAUUAAAGUUGCUGCAGUUAAAAAGCUCGUAGUUGGAUCUUGACGGCAUUACUGCGUGUUUGGGUUUCAUUGUUUUGCUUAUGUCAUGUAUCUGCAUGCAUAUAGUGUAAAAGUAUGUGUGUGUACGAUAUAAUGGUUCUGGGCACAGUGUACCCAACUCGUCGGUGGUGAAGUCUUUCAGCCGUGUCUGUUUUCUUUACAUUUUGUGUACUUUUCACAUUAAUUUGUGCAUUAGUACUACAGAUUGUAUAAGGUGCAGGUGCUGAUAGUUGGAAUUUUGGGUUUUUCCCAGCCUUCUGUUGGUACGCCUCGUGAUGCUCUUAACUGAGCCGUCGCGAGUGUGGACGGCAUGUUUACUUUGAACAAAUUUGAGUGCUCAAAGCAGGCCUACGUGCCUGAAAAGUCUUGCAUGGAAUAAUGGAAUAGGACUUCGGUUCUAUUUUGUUGGUUUUCGGUUCCGAAGUAAUGGUUAAGAGAGACAGACGGGGGCAUUUGUAUGGCGGUGUUAGAGGUGAAAUUCUUGGAUCGCCGCCAGACAAUCUGAAGCGAAAGCAUUUGCCAGGAAUGUUUUCAUUGACAAAGAGCGAAAGUCAGAGGUUCGAAGACGAUCAGAUACCGUCCUAGUUCUGACCAUAAACGAUGCCAACUGACGAUCCGCGGUGGUAGUACAUAUCGUCCCCGCGGGCAGUCUCCGGGAAACCUGUAAGUCUUUGGGUUCCGGGGGAAGUAUGGUUGCAAAGCUGAAACUUAAAGGAAUUGACGGAAGGGCACCACCAGGAGUGGAGCCUGCGGCUUAAUUUGACUCAACACGGGAAAACUCACCCGGCCCGGACACUGUGAGGAUUGACAGAUUGACAGCUCUUUCUUGAUCCAGUGGUUGGUGGUGCAUGGCCGUUCUUAGUUGGUGGAGCGAUUUGUCUGGUUAAUCCCGAUUA